rnacentral:rRNA from 1 species
UACGUAGGGGGGCAAGCGUUGUCCGGAUUCAUUGGGCGUAAAGAGCUCGUAGGCGGCUUAGCAAGUCGGGUGUGAAAACUCCAGGCUCAACCUGGAGACGCCACCCGAUACUGCUAUGGCUAGAGUCCGGUAGGGGACCACGGAAUUCCUGGUGUAGCGGUGAAAUGCGCAGAUAUCAGGAGGAACACCGGUGGCGAAGGCGGUGGUCUGGGCCGAUACUGACGCUGAGGAGCGAAAGCGUGGGGAGCGAACAGG